CCUACGGGUGGCAGCAGUGAGGAAUAUUGGUCAAUGGGCGGGAGCCUGAACCAGCCAUGCCGCGUGAAGGCGAGUGCCCUACGGGCGUUAAACUUCUUUUGUGCGGGAGCAAUACUGUCCCCGUGUGGCCCUUUUAUAGUACCGCACUGAUCAGCAUCGGCUAACUCCGUGCCAGCAGCCGCGGUAAUACGGGGGAUGCGAGCGUUAUCCGGAUUUAUUGGGUUUAAAGGGUGCGUAGGCGGCGCUUCAGGUCAGCGGUGAAAGACCGGGGCUCAACCCCGGGGCUGCCGUUGAAACCGGAGGGCUAGAAUUCAGAUGCGGUAGGAGGAAUGUGUGGUGGAGCGGUGAAAUGCAUAGAUAUCACACAGAACACCGAUUGCGAAGGCAUCUGACGAAGCGGAGAUUGACGCUGAUGCACGAAAGCGUGGGUAUCGAACAGGAUUAGAUACCCUUGUAGUC
rnacentral:rRNA from 1 species